AGCUCCACUCGGUUCACGUUUUUUUUUUUUUGUUUGAUGGGGCGAACCAAGAGGGAAACAAGUAGCGCUACACGCUGUGGGUAAAAAAUGAACCAAGCAUCACAGCCAAGAAAAAGUUCAGGCAUCGGCUACACCGUGGAAGGCCUUAAAUGAUGAGUCGAUCACGAGCAAUCCCCCCCGCGCUGGCGCUGUAGCGGAUGGUCUCGUUCAUGUCCGCGCCCUGUGAACCGGAGGCAGCCGGCCAGCCCCUGGCUUUCCGAUGGGCGCCGACAUCCCGCGGAGGCGCGCGGCUCGGGAAUUUCGCGAGCUGAGGCCUCGGCAGAUGGUAAGAUAGGAGCCAGGCCAGCCACCGCACGCGGGAACGCCGGCCGUGGCCCGUGGCAACGUACCACACCACACCCUGCCCGGAGAAGGGGCAACUUAGGGUCCGUUUGGUUGCUGGGUUCGCUCCAUCUGUGAGACGGUCAUUCAGGAGACGGUGUUUGGUUUGCUACUUGGGUAAAUGAGGAACAGUUGGUGUGAAACUCAGUAACGGAGACAGAUCGAGAACAAGCACUCCAAUCCGACGCCAAGGGAGAAGUAGUAUGCAUUGUUAUUCCCUUCAUUCUCCAUUUAGCAAGGGAGAUGUAGUAUGCAUUGUUGUUAUACAUACAUGUAAUGUACUAGUGUCACAAGCUCCUCCCACGGCGCCUACUGCAUUCCCCCAUGGAUUGAUUACACAGUUAUUCAGGUCAGGGAACGCCCAGUGUUCUUCCCA